rnacentral:rRNA from 1 species
UACGUAGGGGGCAAGCGUUGUCCGGAUUUAUUGGGCGUAAAGAGCGUGUAGGCGGCCGCACAGGUCCGUUGUGAAAACUGGAGGCUUAACCUUCAGACGUCGAUGGAAACCGUGCGGCUAGAGUCCGGAAGAGGAGAAUGGAAUUCCUGGUGUAGCGGUGAAAUGCGCAGAUAUCAGGAAGAACACCCGUGGCUAAGGCGGUUCUCUAGUACGGUACUGACGCUGAGACGCGAAAGCGUGGGGAGCAAAACGG